UACGUAGGGUGCAAGCGUUGUCCGGAAUUAUUGGGCGUAAAGAGCUCGUAGGCGGUUUGUUGCGUCGGCUGUGAAAUCCCGAGGCUCAACCUCGGGUCUGCAGUCGAUACGAGCAAACUAGAGUGUUGCAGGGGAGACUGGAAUUCCUGGUGUAGCGGUGAAAUGCGCAGAUAUCAGGAGGAACACCGGUGGCGAAGGCGGGUCUCUGGGCAACAACUGACGCUGAGGCGCGAAAGCGUGGGGAGCAAACAGG
rnacentral:rRNA from 1 species